rnacentral:misc_RNA from 1 species
UUUCCGUAGGUGAACCUGCGGAAGGAUCAUUCAUAAUAAAGUGUUUUAUGGCACUUUUUAAAAAUCCAUAUCCACCUUGUGUGCAAUGUUAGAUCUCGUCAAUCUUGGCGAGAUUUUUAUACAUCAACUAAUUCUUUAACUAAUUUGUCUGAAAAAUAUUAUGAAUACUUAAUUCAAAAUACAACUUUCAACAACGGAUCUCUUGGCUCUC